UCUCUGUUAAAGGUUUAAUGUGAAAAUGAAGCGUGGAUGUUUGAGUUGCACACUUUUGCGGUGGAAAAUAGAUUCUCAGACAAGAUCUUGUAUCAAUGGCUGUGAAAGUGCCUUCGCUUCUGCAAAUAAAUGCGACAAAUGGUGCAUGGCAUAAGAAUCUUACUGAGAAGCGUCUGGAGAGACAUGCUUGCUGCCUGGUAUUGAAUCCUGAAAAGAUCCCGACAUCGAGCAGCUCGGUUCGCAACUUUCAUCAUCUCUCUCUUUUCGUGAACUUCUGCGUGAUUUUCUGCAGGAGUUGCUUGAAUUACUUUCGAACGAGGAAGAAGUAACAGACCGACACCGUCGUUCUUCACAUCGUGGACUGAUGCUGGGUUUUUGUUUCCUCCUUUUGUUCUUUCCUGUCCUGAAACUAGUUGAUCUAACUCCUUUCAAACGACCAGUUGUUUGAUUCCUCACCCUCUUUCUUUUCUGCUGACUUCCCUGAACAAUACCACUUAGCUUGUGAAUCUCCCCUGAAUUGGAUUAAAUGAAUCGUUAAAAAUGGUUGGCCUGACGAUUCAUCUGGCAGUUCUUUGCUUAGGGUUACUUUUGAAUCUAACACUGGCAUUGUAUAUGAUGCAAUUUCUAACCACUGAGUGACUUGUACCUUGUUUAAAUUUGCCAAAGUUCUCGCUGGGUGAAGAUUUCGUGGCGUUGGUUUCGUCCGACUGCUUGUGUUUCCACAUCGCUUCAUAGUACAAUCCAAGCUUCGCCUCUUGUAAUGCUUCAUGUCUAGUGUAUACCGUCCACUUGUACGUUCGUGUUCUUAUCCCAAAUGUAACGAGACUCAAUCCAUGCAUGAUCUUUACUCUGCCUUCUGCUGUCGGAGAGGAGACCCUUCUAAACCACGGGACGUUUGGAGUCUAACAGCAACUAUUUCAAAGGUUGUCAUUCGGAUCCACAGUUAACGCCUGUUGGCGUCUCCAAGCAAUCAAGAGUGUUAAGCAGAAGGUUUUGCUGUUCUUUGGAAGCUUUCUAAUAUUCAACUGGCUGUUAACUCAGUCUUACAGUCUUCCACACAAACUGUGCAUAUCCAAUAUGAGCAGGCCUGAAGGGUAUACUGAGGCCAUUGCAGAUGAACUGGAGUUCAGUUUGGUUAUCGUUGCGUAAAAUGAGGUGAAGGUUGAUUGGACAACGAUGCAGAAAUGGCCUCUUACUCUGCUUCGAAGAUCAUUAAUGGUCAAAUCUGCACCAAGGUUGCGUCUCACAGUGAAAAAUUCUAGGGUUUAUACAUUCAUUUCAAAACAUGCUUGUCCAUUUCUCAUAGAUAGAUCAGAGGCUCCAUAUGUAGAUAGAUCCUAGUGCGGUUUUCAGGUGUCUCCCAUGUUGGGUCCAUUAGCUCGUCAUGGUUAUGCAAGGGUUGUAGCCAUUACAAUAUAUACUCCUAAUUAGGGUGUUCGGCACACAAACACAGAAGCAGUAAGCUGCAGCAAAAUGAAGAAGAAAGUACUUGAUCAAUACGUGUUGCGACUGCCAGCCAGCCUCACCAGCUUCAUUUCAAAGUCUUACAGCCUGACAGCCUUCCUUCUACUGCUCCAUCAUGGAUCUUUGCUUCAAGCUGCAGUCUGAUGGAAGUUGCUUGCGUCACAGUUUUCACUAGUUGAUUUGCACGGAACAUGUGGGCACACCAGGGCCGUGUGCUCUAAAAACCUGAUGACUAAAUCACGUGUACCUCGGACAGUUUGUUUCUAGUUGCAUCUAGUUGAAGAAUGACCAGAUAGAGCCUGUUCCUUCUUCUUUUUUAACAUGAUAUUUUUGAAACCCGGCAAAAUGGUUCUGCGUGUCCAAGGGGAGUGUAUCCAAAGUACCAAACGAACAUGAUUCUGUGUUAGGAAUCAUCAGUCAGUGUCAGUCCUCCCCGUCUAAAGCAUGAAGCUCUUACGCUUUGUGCUGACACGCAAACAUUCUCACAUGCUCUGAAAUUGUAAGGAAGCUCUUGCCCAUGCUAGAGCUGUGUUUCCGAUA